rnacentral:rRNA from 1 species
CCUGAGAAACCCAAAAGAUUGAAUGGGGAGAUUCAUCGUCAGCUACUAUUGUAUAUGUAUGAAUUACGAUGUAGGUUACUUUUAUAGUAUUGCUUGCACGUAUUUAUACAUUUAUAUGCAAUAUGUUGUCGGCGUGCACUUCUCCCCUAGUAAAACAUUGCGACCCGUUGGAUGCUGGUUUACGACCCAAGUUGGGAGCCUUUAAUGUUUAAUAGCAUUAGAGACCCUUGGUGUUUUCUGACCGGCUGUUCGGCGGUACUCGUACGGUAUUUAGCCGCAUAUUUAUAUGCGUUUAUGUCCGUCGCAAGCGCGGCUAGUUUGUGGUAAUACGGACCUGGCGCCGUCGCUGCAACUGGCCAGCUGUUGGCUGUUACGGUAUUCUAGAACUGGCUAAAAUUAUUACCGGUCGGCAAUGCUACUGCUUUGGGUACUUUCAGGACCCGUCUUGAAACACGGACCAAGGAGUCUAACAUGUGCGCGAGUCAUUGGGAUUUUUAAAAAAUUAAACCUAAAGGCGUAAUGAAAGUAAAAGUCGUCCUUGCGUCGACUGAGGGAGGAUAAGUUGUGUUAAGAUACAAUUUGGCACUCCCGGGGCGUCUCAUUCUCAUUGCGAGAAGAGGCGCACCUAG